UACGUAGGGUGCAAGCGUUGUCUGGAAUUAUUGGGCGUAAAGAGCUCGUAGGCGGUCUGUCGCGUCUGCUGUGAAAACCUAGGGCUUAACUCUGGGCGUGCAGUGGGUACGGGCAGGCUAGAGUGCGGUAGGGGAGACUGGAAUUCCUGGUGUAGCGGUGAAAUGCGCAGAUAGUCAGGAGGAACACCGGUGGCGAAGGCGGGUCUCUGGGCCGUAACUGACGCUGAGGAGCGAAAGCAUGGGGAGCGAACAGG
rnacentral:rRNA from 1 species